AUGGUUCCAGCAAAAACACAAAAAGUGGCAUGGCACAAGAACAAUGAAAAGGAUCCAGAAAAGCAAAAUAACAUGCUUCCAACAAAAAACGAAAAUGCUUCGAGCAAAAAUACUUGCCGUUUCCAGCAAAGUCAUGAAUCGUCGUCACCGAGUAGUAGCAAAAUAAAUCGCUGCUUCCAGCAAAAAAAUGAUGGUUCCAGCAAUGGUGGCUCGUCGCCGCGGCCGUCGCAACAUGACUGUCGCUGGUUCCAGCUUCCGUCAUCCGCCGUAUGCAACAAAACCGACAGCCGGUUCGAGCAAAUAGGCCUGUUGGUUCCAGCUUUCUUCAUGUCCGCCAUUGUAGUAGGUUGCAGCGGUGCUGUCGUGCUCCAACGUACGCAACAAAUCGGGUGCCGGUUCCAGCAAAUCGGCCUACUGGUUCCAGCAUCGCACAACCACCGUGGCAGCAGGCCUCCUUGCCAGUUCCAGCAUGCUGCCAUGCCGGUUCCAGCAUCGCGUGAUCACCGUGGCAGCACUCCUCCUUGCCGGUUCCAGCAUGCUGCCAUGCCGGUUUCAGCCCGUGGACGCAGCAGCUCCUCAGCCAACAAUCUGCAUCUCCGCAUCUGGCGCAAAAAAUCUCUCCCCCAUCUCCGCCAUUGCAGCUCCUGCCCUCCCGUCAGAGCUAUGUCUUCCACCUUGAAUCAGCGGUAA
rnacentral:rRNA from 1 species